UUUUUCGAGUCCUGUUCUUUUCUUUUGCGUGAUUUUCAUCGUUUUAUUGAAAGUUUCAAGUGUGCAUCUGUCUUCCUGCACAUCCAGCAACAUCCACGAUGGUUCGUAAAGUAGCGCCAAGAAAAAGAAAAAACUUCCAAAGCGAGAAAAAUACUCCGCAGCGCAAGGUGCUUAAACUUCAACAUGACGAAGCAGAAAACCCUUAAAACAAGAUACUGAUAUUGACUAUGUCAUCUCCGAAGUUGAUGAACAAGAUAACAAUAAGAAGAGUACCUGGCAUUUUAACGAUGAGUCUGCAGUAGACGUAAACAUGCCGAUCACACAAAUUAACACAGACAAAAAUCAAAAGCCUAUAAUUGGUAAAGUAGUCUCGCUUACCAGUCUUGCUUCCUAUAAAAGCCCCCAGAAAAAUGGACUAAUAAUUAAGUCCAUCCUUCAAGAUAUGUCUGGCCAAAUGGGCCUGUUGCAAACUUUUGCUAGAGCAAAAUUAAGAGUUGUUUCUUACAGAUAAUGCCUCCAAAAUCACGAUAAGCGCAU